rnacentral:sRNA from 1 species
UAUGGUGCCGUCCCUAACUUUAGAGAUGAUGGUCAUAGGAUGAGCAGGUCCCUCCCCUGGCCAGGAUGGGAUCCGUCAGGAAGACUGUUUAUAUCCUUAGGUUGAGGAUUAUUCAUUCCUUUUGAUGGAUGAGAAAACUGAGACUUCAAGAGGUUCAAUGCUGAGAGUCACACUACUAGAGAAUGGUGGAAUGUGAGCCCCCCUAUCCAAGAAUCUCUAGAGGCAAGCAUUGCCUGGAGAGGCCUCCAGUUUGGUUGGCAGAGUGGUGACCAGCUGACCAAUUGGACGGGGCUCUUUAAUGUCACAGAUGAUUCAGCAGUGCAGAGCAGCAGUGACUCCAGCUCCAGGUACUUUGAAUUUUAUGAGGGGCCUUUUGAAUAUAACUCCACAAGAUGCCUGGAGCUGAGGCACGAAAUAUUGGAAGUGAAGGUGCUGUCCAUGGUGAAGCAGUCAGAGCUGUUCGACAGGUGGAAGAGCCUCCAGAUGUGCAAAUGGGCGAUGAACAUCUCUGAGGCCAACCAGUUCAAAAGAACACUCCCCUGGGGACAAAGCUCAAGUAUGAGGUGGACACCAGUGGCAUCUACCACAUCAACCAGGAGAUCUUCCGCAUGUUUCCCAAGGACAUGCCCUACUACCGGUCCCAGUUUAAGAAGUGUGCUGUGGUGGGCAACGGAGGCAUCUUGAAGAACAGCCGCUGCGGGAGGGAGAUCAACAGCGCCGACUUCGUCUUCCGGUGCAACCUGCCCCCCAUCUCAGAGAAGUACACCAUGGACGUGGGGGUGAAGACGGAUGUGGUCACUGUGAACCCCAGCAUCAUCACAGAGAGGUUCCACAAGCUGGAGAAGUGGCGGCGGCCGUUCUACCGCGUGCUGCAGGUGUACGAGAACGCGUCGGUGCUGCUGCCUGCCUUCUACAACACGCGCAACACCGACGUGUCCAUCCGCGUCAAGUAUGUGCUGGACGACUUCGAGUCGCCGCAAGCUGUCUACUACUUCCACCCGCAGUACCUGGUCAACGUGUCGCGCUACUGGCUCAGCCUGGGGGUGCGCGCCAAGCGCAUCAGCACCGGCCUCAUUCUGGUCACUGCGGCGCUGGAGCUCUGUGAGGAGGUGCACCUCUUCGGCUUCUGGGCCUUCCCCAUGAACCCCUCGGGCCUCUACAUCACUCACCACUACUAUGACAACGUCAAGCCGCGUCCCGGCUUCCACGCCAUGCCCUCGGAGAUCUUCAACUUCCUGCACUUGCACAGCCGAGGCAUCCUCCGCGUGCACACGGGCACCUGCAGCUGCUGCUGAUGGCUGCCGGCCAGGCUGCCCGGCAAGCGGCGCCUCCUCUCCUGCUGUCCCUCCCGGUGGAACUGGGAGCCCCGAACCGGGCAGCGUGGGGGCCUGGCGUUCAGGCUGUCUCUCCCUCCGUAGUUCAGCCCUGUACUUGGAUCCUGGGGUGGGGAGGCAGGGUUAGGAACCGGGGCAGAGUCAGCUCUGUGCUGAGCCUCCUGGCCUGGCCCCCACUGGUGCGUCCGCCCAAUGCCUCCACCUGCCCUGGCUAGCAUGCUGCUGGGCCACACCCCAAGAUCUGGGGCCCUGGGGACGGCAAGUGAAUAAAGCACAUUUCCACCCAAUUUUGUCAUCCGAGAGAGAGCACAAACUUCAGGCCCUUGUUGCAGCUGAAGGAAGGCCCUACACAGAAUGGAACUGAGAGUGGAGACAGGACACUUCACAGGACACUUGAGCCCAGUCAAGAUUUUAUUCACACUUUUGGUUCCUGAGUUUUAUAUCGAGGACUUAGCUAUGAAUUGCUAGCUAAAUCUCAGAGCUUAGAAGCCAAGCCAGUGACUAGACCUUCCAGUGAAGAAAGUGAUCUCAAGAGGUCCAGGGACUUAACAGCCAAGCCACACCAUCCAACAGGUUCUUCUGUGACACCGAGAGAUCUAACGCAAGGCCUGGGUUAUGUCUUAGUCGAGACGUCAUCAUCUGAGAAGCACCACAUCCUUUCAGACACAUCCUCGGACAAACAUGCAGUCUUGGUGCCCCCAGGUUCAAUCCUGCGUUAGCUCUUUUGAUGAGAAGGAAAUAAACCAAACCAGCCACUUGC